CUCAGUUCGGAUUGAAGGCUGAAAUUCGCCUUCAUGAAGCUGGAAUUGCUAGUAAUGGCAGGUCAGCAUACUGCCGUGAAUACGUUCCCGGGCCUUGUACACACCGCCCGUCACACCAUGAGAGUUGGGAAUGCCCGAAGCCGGUGACCUAACCGAAAGGGAGGAGCCGUCGAAGGCAGGCUUGAUAACUGGGGUGAAGUCGUAACAAGGUAUC
rnacentral:rRNA from 1 species